AAAGACAAACUGGAAGAAAACAGGACUUCCAACCCAGCUGGGGUUCUGGCAUCUUAGGAACUAAUGGGAAUUAAGCCUGUAUAACCUUUUUCUUCACAGUGACCUCUAAACAGUUAACAAAGUUAAAUGGCUAAAUGUGAGAAGUGGUUAAGACAGGGAUGUUUCCUUAAAAGAGCAAGGGCUGGGUGUGCACAGCCACCCUCUGAAAAGUUGUGUUAAAUUGCAGCACAGCAUUUAUCAGCAAUCUGACACACCUCACUACAGCCCAGGGCCUUGCUCUUACUUCUGCUCUCCUCUUACAUCAGCCCAUAAUGGAAAGGUGCUGUUCCAUGUCAGGGUAGGAGUAGCAGCAGUGUCUGCCACCAAGUCUCCUGGUCACUGUCAGGUAAUUCCCAGAAGCCAGCAAGCUGGUGCAGGGCAGAGGGGAGCAUUAAUUUAUUAAUACACAGCCCACUGCACUGGGAGAGAGCUCAUGGCAAACAGAACGGCCCUGGGGAAGAAGAGACUGCUCAGCUCUCUUGCCACUCCUUUUCCCACCCUGCUGAGGUAUCCAGGGCUGGCUCUCAGAGAGGACAGCUGCCCAGGGUGGUGACACUCACAGGAUCUUGAGUAACACCAAGGGACUCUGCUUGUGACAGCCAGCCAGAGAAUGGAGGGAUGGAGAAGAGGGUGUUCCAAACAUGCCCCUCUGUCAUGUUAGAGCAAGAAAUCAACUGAAUUAAACAUCAUACAGAACCAUUGCCAUGUCCUGUGCUCCAAAGAGAGCAAAUAGAGUUGAGGAAAACCUUCAUGAAUGAAUGAAGUUUCUCAAGUGGAUACCUCAACUCCAAGUCUUUACAAAGAAAAAAAACACAAGUAAGUGUGAUUGAAAAGUCUUGUUUCUAUCCCACUACAUUAUCAAAAUUUUAAAUCAUCAAGGCACUGGAUCAUCCAACCAAGACAGAGACAAUCAGAAUUGUAAAGGUGCACAUUUCUUAUUCCAGUAGUUCAAUCCUCCACCAACACAGGAAGGCUUAUGGAAUUUAACCUUAUGGACAUUUGCACUGUCACAUGGGUAUUUUUUUGGCUUUGAUCGAAAGUAGAUACUUCUAAGUAAUAUAAUUUAGUAAAUGAGAAAAAUGGUUUAUUAAAGUAAUUUGGGAAUUGGUUGGAAAGGAGAUUAGUGACAGGUAAUAUAUGUUCUAGAUGAAUAAUUGGCAGCUUUGCAUUCUUCUCUCAUAGCGGCUUCCAUGCAAAGCCCCCACAAGACAGCGCUCCUUAAAUCACGAACAGUAUGUUUGGAGUUGGAAGGGACUUGUGGGGAUCACCUAGUCCAGUUCCCUGCUAAAAGCAGGCUCACCCAGAGCAAGUUGCACGGAGUGAUGUCCAGGCAGAGUUGAACAUCUCCAGAGGAGAUUCCACAGCUUCUGUGGACAGCUCCUGGCAGUGCUCUGUCCUCCACAGAGCCCCUUGCCAGCAGAUCAGGCUCCCACCCGCACGGGUGCAUGGGGUUAUUGUGCCUGAGCUACAGGACCCCACACUUUCUUGUGUUGAGCUUCCCUGAGUGCUCUCCGGCCUGUCCAGGUCUGGCUGAAUGGCAGCACAGCCUGCUGGCCCAUCCUGCCCUUUUGGAACAGCUGGGGUGACACUGGUGUUCCUCCAUUCCUCCUCCAUGACCUUUCAAACACACCCAAUGAAAGAUGCAUCCAAUCUUCCUGAAAAGUUAUUCUAAACAGGAUUUUGGACACAGUAGAGCACUUUUACGGUAAGGGGGAUUGGUAGCGUGGCCAGCCUUCUGUUUGCAGGCUUUGUUUCUGAUCCUCUGGCUGGCCUUGAGCUGCCUGGAGGAUAUGGUGUAGAUCUGUGCACUUGUGACUGAUGUGGCAAUUCCCAUUUCCAGCCCUUGAUUCCUAUUCCUUGUGUGCUAUUCUGUGUUCACAUCCUCUCUCCAAACCCUGGAGAAUUUGUGGGUUCAAGGAUUCUGUGACAAUGAAUAAAAUUACCUUCUGUUAAAGACAAAUACGCUCCAAGUGUGUUGAAGAACCUGGGACUAUGAACUACUUUCCAGCAUCUGAGGGGGUGUUGGCACAUCAUUGUGGGCUCUGGUUUUGGAGGCGCCCUGGCAGUCUCCUGUUGGGACCAAAGCACUGUGUAUAAAUAGUUACAUUCUCUGUGAUGGAGCCAGAUAAGCACAGCAGCAGCAGGCUGAUUUCAGGAUCCACUGACAGGGAUCUGGGAGUCACAAGCAGGAGGUUUUGCUCUUUUGCAUUCAGGCCAGGAAUCUGAGCGUGCGUUCCUUGUGCAAGGUCAGUGCCAGAACUACUGAAUGAAUGAGUUUUUGUCCAGUUUUUCACUGGAAAAUAAUUAGG